rnacentral:pre_miRNA from 1 species
AUUUUAGUAUAAGUAUGUCUCAUGCAAUAUCUGGACAUAUUUAUACUAAAA